GAUGAAGAACGUAGCGAAAUGCGAUACUUGGUGUGAAUUGCAGAAUCCCGUGAACCAUCGAGUCUUUGAACGCAAGUUGCGCCCGAAGCCAUUAGGCCGAGGGCACGCCUGCCUGGGCGUCACACGUCGUUGCCCCCCCAUCUACUCCUUCGGGAUUGCGGGGGGCGGAUGAUGGCCUCCCGUGCGCCUCGCCGCGCGGUUGGCAUAAAUGCCAAGUCCUCGGCGACGCACGCCACGACAAUCGGUGGUUGCGAAACCUCGGUUGCCCGUCGUUUGCGGUCGUCGCGCAUCGAGGGCUCGAAAAAAUUGCCGGGUUCCGGCUCGGCUUUCAACGCGACCCCAGGUCAGGCGGGGUUACCCGCUGAAUUUAAGCAUAUCAAUAAGCGGAGGA
rnacentral:misc_RNA from 1 species